UCCACUGAGCGAUAGAUAGCAGUGAUUCCAUUAGUGAUAGUGAAAGUCGUGCUACACAAUAACCCUCUUCUCUCGUCUCCCUCAUACCAGCCACGAAGGCUUUCAAAGGUGUUUGGGAUAUGGAGAUGAAGAAGACUCUAAUGUGUGUGGAAGAAAGAAGAGUGAGCAAACCAUCCUCUGCCUCCUCCAGCUCAAGGUUCCAUUUUGCACACCAAGAAGGCAAGGCUCACGGUUUAGGAAUCUUUUCCAAGAUGAUGAAGCAAUGGAGGUGGGAGGGUGGCCAAGAUAAUAGGCUUCUGAAGGAUUUGUGCACCAGCACCCUGAUCUUUCUACUGUUCGAGUGAAACGAAAAAGAAAUUGUUCACUGAAGUUUUUCUGUUGAGAAGACUUUGUUAUUCUGUGUCUCUGGAAUAAAAAAAAGUAAGAUCUCGUUCUGUUUCUCCAUUCCCCAAUGUCUUCCUCUUUGGAAAUCAAAGC